CGGUGGGUCUUGUGCGAUGCGAGCCUGUGAACCCUGUCAGGUCCGGAAGGAAGCAGCAGUAAGCGGUCACUCGCAUGUGCCGCGAGGGUGCUUGCCCCAA
rnacentral:SRP_RNA from 1 species